GGAGUCACGCGAAGUCGGAAGUACCAGCUGCGGGAAGGAGCUGCCCACUGUGCGUCUUCUCAACUUGUUGGGACAACCUUCCUGCGGAAAGGAGAGACAACCUUCCUGCAGAAAGGAGCUACCUGCUUCAGGUCUACUGAGAGCUGUUCUGCCACUCAAUAAAGCUCUUCUCCAUCUUGCUAAGCCUCCAUUUGUCCGCAAUACCUCAUCUCCCUGGACGCAGGACAAGAACUCAGGACCCGCCUGGAGGUGCCCACAGCAGAAUCCACAUGCCGUCCAUCUGGUCCAGCCUCACGCAGAGCCACAACUGUGCUGGCGCCUGGAGCUGCCAGCCCCACUGCAGCAGCCGGACUGACAUUCAGACGUGGAGCAAGUUGGACUGCAUAGGGACCCACCAGUGAGAUGGACGCUGUCUGUAAACGGUUCUCCAGGGAGGCUGCUCUGCCAAGUCUGGUAUUUCAUGAAUAGAUCUGAAAACAGACAUUAUCUCUUCUCCCAGUGAAGAGAGAGCGAUGAAGCCUCAGGACAAAAGGAGGCAGUGGGAUGAUGCCACCAAGGGACCAUUCUGAAGAGCCAUCAGCAAAAAGCAGCCACACCUGCUUAUGUGGCUCUGGGACAAAUGAUCUGAGCCGUGACGUGGAACUUAGAUGCAGUAAAGUCCAUUGUAUUGAGCCUUCUCUGGCACUCCUCCCAAAACAGAGAGACAACAGUUCUGUUAUGUUUUGUUUGGUUUGGUCUCCCUCAACUCAUCAAUGAGCCUUUUUAAAAAGAAUAAUUCGGUACUUUCUUUAAA